rnacentral:rRNA from 1 species
GAUGAACGCUGGCGGCGUGCUUAACACAUGCAAGUCGAACGGAAAGGCCCAAGCUUGCUUGGGUACUCGAGUGGCGAACGGGUGAGUAACACGUGGGUGAUCUGCCCUGCACUUCGGGAUAAGCCUGGGAAACUGGGUCUAAUACCGGAUAGGACCACUUCUUGGAUGUUGUGGUGGAAAGUUUUUUCGGUGUGGGAUGAGCUCGCGGCCUAUCAGCUUGUUGGUGGGGUAAUGGCCUACCAAGGCGUCGACGGGUAGCCGGCCUGAGAGGGUGUACGGCCACAUUGGGACUGAGAUACGGCCCAGACUCCUACGGGAGGCAGCAGUGGGGAAUAUUGCACAAUGGGCGCAAGCCUGAUGCAGCGACGCCGCGUGGGGGAUGACGGCCUUCGGGUUGUAAACUCCUUUCGCUAGGGACGAAGCGUUUUGUGACGGAACCUGGAGAAGAAGCACCGGCUAACUACGUG